CUAGAGCUGGCCCCUGACCUCCUAAGAGGAAAACUAAGCACACAACCAUAAAAAUACCAAUAAAAAGCAGCACUGUGUUAACAGAUAUUGAGGCGAAGGACUGUUAUAAGUCUGCACUGCUCAAUGUCAACUUAAGGCACUCCACUUUUUUGUAAUGAUCUAUAACAGUUUUACUCUAAUGGUAAAUGAGGCCGUAUUUAUGUAGAUGCAACAGUUCAACGAGUUUUCCUUUGCUUGGUGUGAAAAAAACUUGACCUGCCCCUCAUCUAAAGGAAUAAAUAUUCUUAUUUGUGUAUUCAAGCAUGCCAUUUCUAAAAAUCUUUAAUAUAGACAUUUUUGUCUUAGUUUCAGUAAUCAACUGGGGGACGUUUCUAAUAUGUGUCAGUUACCAUUGUUUACUUGUAAAUAGUGGUUUCAGAGGGAAAGAUUGAUUAAUAUGAUCAACAUGGGCAUCUGAUCAGAUUUAAGAACAGACAUCAGAUUGUGCCCCAGUGCUUUAAGCUUUAUUUCUCGCUUUAUAUUAAAAGCAGCGGUUUAAAAAAGACACAUGUGGACUGUAAUGCAAGCCAAAGCAAUAUGAGACUUUUGAUGUGUUAUUACACUUCUCUAAAAGGGGGGGGGGGGUACUCAGAGACAGAAACCAGUUUAUUUUCUAUAUUCUGAUUGUUUUUAAUCAGGGCUUCAUAUAUCAUCCAGGGCCUGUAUAACAGAACAUUCUGCUCCUAAAAACACAUCUGCUGACGGUGUUUUCCUCGACUCCCAAACUCCCUCUGUAGAAAAUUUUGAUCCUAACGUGCCGACAAAAUUAAAAGCAAAUGCUGAAAUCUGCCUUUCUGGAAAAGGUGUAACAAAAAAUUCAUCAUAAAGUAAGAAUGUACCGUUCACCUGUAGUGUCUCUGCUUAAUCAUUUGUGUCAGCUUCGUUGGCUGCUGAGAAAGAAACCUGAGCCUGAUCGCAGAUUACCAUCACCGAAUGAGCACUAGUGACACUCAGUGGAUUAUCCAGGAACAGCCAGUCCUAAAACGUGAGCUCCAAUUAUCCUUCUAGAUCAGGGGUAUCAAACAUGCAGCCCAGGGGCCAAAUCCCGGCCCCUCAAAGGGUCCUCCUGGCCCACUGCGCGGCUUCAGAAGGUUUUGUACUUUUGUACAUCAGCUGUGAUCCCUAGAUUUUAACACACGUGUAAUGACAGGAGCUCAUGACUGUUGGAAAAACAGACCUGCAGCAGGCAGCAGAGACCACUCACUGAAAAGGAAGGAUCUAUGGAUGCAACAAGAGGCGGGCGGAUCGAUAUCAGUACCAAUGUUAGUAUUGGUAUGGGAUCAAUACUAAGUUAUACUUUGUUUCUACGCUCUACAUUCCGUAU
ensembl:lncRNA